AACGAACGCUGGCGGCAGGCUUAACACAUGCAAGUCGAACGCAUCGCAAGAUGAGUGGCAGACGGGUGAGUAACGCGUGGGAAUCUACCUAGUUCUACGGAACAACAGUUGGAAACGACUGCUAAUACCGUAUACGCCCUAUGGGGGAAAGAUUCAUCGGAAUUAGAUGAGCCCGCGUAAGAUUAGUUAGUUGGGAGGGUAAUGGCCUACCAAGGCGACAGUCUUUAGCUGGUAUGAGAGGAUGAUCAGCCCCACUGGGACUUGGACCAGGCCGAGACUCCUACGGGAGGCAGCGAUGGGGAAUAUUGGACAAUGGGCGCAAGCCUGAUCCAGCCAUGCCGCGUGAGUGAUGAAGGCCUUAGGGUUGUAAAGCUCUUUCACCGAUGAAGAUAAUGACGGUAGUCGGAGAAGAAGCCCCGGCUAACUUCGUGCCAGCCGCCGCCGUAAGAC
rnacentral:rRNA from 1 species